AUUGAACGCUGGCGGCAGGCCUAACACAUGCAAGUCGAGCGAGCGGCGGACGGGUGAGUAAUGUAUGGGGACUGCCCGAUAGAGGGGGGUAACUCCUGGAAACGGUAGCUAAUACCGCAUACUAUCGGAUAACCCAUAUGGGAUUAGCUAGUAGGUGAGGUAAUGGCCCACCUAGGCGACGAUCCCUAGCUGGUCUGAGAGGGUGAUCAGCCACACUGGGGCGGAGACACGGCCACGACUCCUACGGAGGCAGCAGUGGGGAAUAUUGGACAAUGGGCGCAAUCCUGAUGCAGCCAUGCCGCGUGUAUGAAAAAGGCCCUAGGGUGGUAAAGUACUGUCAGUCGGGAGGCGUUACCGACAGAAGAAGCACCGGCUAACUCCGUGCCAGCAGCCGCGGUAAUAC
rnacentral:rRNA from 1 species